rnacentral:rRNA from 1 species
GAUGAACGCUAGCGGCAGGCUUAAUACAUGCAAGUCGAGGGGCAGCAUGAGUAGCAAUACUUGAUGGCGACCGGCAAACGGGUGCGGAACACGUACACAACCUUCCUUCAAGCGAGGAAUAGCCCAGAGAAAUUUGGAUUAAUACCUCAUAGCAUAUUAGAGUGUCAUCACUUCUAUAUUAAAGAUUUAUCACUUGAAGAUGGGUGUGCGGCUGAUUAGAUAGUUGGCGGGGUAACGGCCCACCAAGUCUACGAUCAGUAGCUGAUGUGAGAGCAUGAUCAGCCACACGGGCACUGGGACACGGGCCCGACUCCUACGGGAGGCAGCAGUAAGGAAUAUUGGUCAAUGGACGAAAGUCUGAACCAGCCAUGCCGAAUGAAGGAUGAAGGUCCUCUGGAUUGUAAACUUCUUUUAUAUGGGACGAAAAAAGGUAAUUCUUGAUCACUUGACGGUACCAUUUGAAUAAGCACCGGCUAACUCCGUGCCAGCAGCCGCCGUAACAC